ensembl:lncRNA
CUGGUGGCUGCAUGCACCGGACUUGGCACUAAAUUGGCUUGUCCCUAGGGAAUGAGAGUGGGAAAUUGAAGCUACCUGCUGAUCUAGACGUACAACUCUCAGCUUUUCUCCAUCACCGUGUCUGCCUACAUGGCACCAUGAUUCCACCAUGAUGAUAAUGGACUGAACCUCUGAACUGUAAGCCAGCUCCAGAUCACAAUAUGGAGAACGGAAGGGAGGAAGCCUCAAGCACUAACCCUUAGAGCAUAGAAAGCACACCACUGUGAUGAGAUAUACAGAAGAAGGCCCCAGAGGCACAGCACCCAGAAAACUAAAGAGGUUGUAGGAAGAGAAAAUGGGGAAGAGGACAUGUUAGAGGCGGGCUAACUCCCUCAGAUUUCCACGAGAAAGCCUGAUAUGUUUU